rnacentral:rRNA from 1 species
GACGAACGCUGGCGGCGUGCUUAACACAUGCAAGUCGAACGGAAAGGCCCUGCUUUUGUGGGGUGCUCGAGUGGCGAACGGGUGAGUAACACGUGAGUAACCUGCCCCUGACUUUGGGAUAACUUCAGGAAACUGGGGCUAAUACCGGAUAGGAGCUCCUGCUGCAUGGUGGGGGUUGGAAAGUUUCGGCGGUUGGGGAUGGACUCGCGGCUUAUCAGCUUGUUGGUGGGGUAGUGGCUUACCAAGGCUUUGACGGGUAGCCGGCCUGAGAGGGUGACCGGCUUUGUUGCGGGCGCAGGACGGCCCAUACUCUCACUGGAGGGAGCAGUGGGGAGUAGUGCAAAGUGAGCAAGUACCUGAUGCCGCAACGCCGGGUGCGGGAAGAGGGCCGUCGGGUUGUAAACCGUUUUCGCCUGGGACGAAGCGUGAGUGACGGUGAUGGGUAAAGAAGCCCCGGGUAACUACGAG